GACGAACGCUGGCGGCGUGCUUAACACAUGCAAGUCGAACGGAAAGGCCCUGCUUUUGUGGGGUGCUCGAGUGGCGAACGGGUGAGUAACACGUGAGUAACCUGUACUUGACUUUGGGAUAACUUCAGGAAACUGGGGCUCAUACCGGAUAGGAGCUCCUGCUGCAUGGUGUGGGUUGGAAAGUUUCGGCGGUUGGGGAUGGACUGGCGGGUUAUCAGCUUGUUGGUGGGGUAGUGGCUUACCAAGGCUUUGAAGGGUAGCCGGCCUGGGAGGGUGACCGGCGACAAUGGGACUGCGAUACGGCGCAGACUCGUACGGGAGGCAGCAGUGGGGAAUAUUGCACAAUGGGCGGAAGCCAGAUGCAGCAACGCCGCGUGCGGGAUGCCGUCUUUCGGGUUGUAAACCGAUGUCGCAUGUGACGAAGCGUGAGUGACGGUAAUGGGUAAAGAAGCACCGGCUAACUACGUG
rnacentral:rRNA from 1 species